AUUGAACGCUGGCGGCAGGCCUAACACAUGCAAGUCGAACGAGUGGCGGACGGGUGAGUAAUGUCUGGGAAACUGCCUGAUGUAGGGGGAUAACUACUGGAAACGGUAGCUAAUACCGCAUACCAUCGGAUGUGCCCAGAUGGGAUUAGCUAGUAGGUGGGGUAAAGGCUCACCUAGGCGACGAUCCCUAGCUGGGCUGAGAGGAUGACCAGCCAACCUGGAACUGAGAAACGGUCCAGCCUCCUACGUGAGGCAGCAGUGGGGAAUAUUGCACAAUGGGCGCAAGCCUGAAGCAGCCAUGCCGCGUGUAUGAAGAAGGCCUUCGGUUUGUAAAGUACUUUCAGCGGGGAGUCGUUACCCGCAGAAGAAGCACCGGCUAACUCCGUGCCAGCAGCAGCGGUAAUAC
rnacentral:rRNA from 1 species